rnacentral:Y_RNA from 1 species
AGCUGGUCUGAGUGGUGGUGUUUAUAAUCCAUUGAUCACAGCCUAUUACAGGAUUCUCUGUUCCUUCUCCUCUCCUGCUGCUUUGACCAGCCAAAA